rnacentral:rRNA from 1 species
CCAAUAGCGUAUAUUAAAGUUGUUGCAGUUAAAAAGCUCGUAGUUGAAUUUUGGGUCUGGCCGGGCGGUCCGCCCUCCGGGUGAGCACUGUUCCGACGCCGGACCUAUCCUUCUGGUGAGUCGGCAUGUCCUUUAUUGGGUGUGUCGGGGAACCAGGACCAUUACCUUGAAAAAAUUAGAGUGUUCAAAGCAGGCGUAUGCUCGGAUACAUUAGCAUGGAAUAAUGAAAUAGGACGCGUGGUGCUAUUUUGUUGGUUUCUAGAACCGCCGUAAUGAUUAAUAGGGAUAGUUGGGGGCAUUAGUAUUCAAUUGUCAGAGGUGAAAUUCUUGGAUUUAUUGAAGACUAACUUCUGCGAAAGCAUUUGCCAAGGAUGUUUUCAUUAAUCAAGAACGAAAGUUAGGGGAUCGAAGACGAUCAGAUACCGUCGUAGUCUUAACCAUAAACUAUGCCGACUAGGAAUCGGGCGAUGUUAUUCUCAUGACUCGCCCGGCGCCUUAUG